rnacentral:tRNA from 1 species
GGAAACGUGCCUGAAGAUAAGGAACUCCUUGAUGGGGAGAACCACGGGGGUUAAAAUCCCCUCAUUUCCU